CCUACGGGUGGCAGCAGUGAGGAAUAUUGGUCAAUGGACGAGAGUCUGAACCAGCCAAGUAGCGUGAAGGAUGACGGUCCUGCGUAUUGUAAACCUCUUUUAUAUGGGAAUAAAAGGGUGCACGUGUGCGCGUAUGUAUGUACCAGAAGAAAAAGCAUCGGCUAACUCCGUGCCAGCAGCCGCGGUAAUACGGAGGAUGCGAGCGUUAUCCGGAUUUAUUGGGUUUAAAGGGUGCGCAGGUGGAUUGUUAAGUCAGGGGUGAAAGUCCGGGGCUCAACCGUAGAAUGGCAGUUGAAACUGGCAGUCUUGAGUUGAAUAGAGGUGUGCGGAAUUCGUGGUGUAGCGGUGAAAUGCUUAGAUAUCACGAAGAACGCCGAUUGCGAAGGCAGUAUGCCGGCGUGAAACUGACGCUGAGGCUCGAAAGCGUGGGUAUCGAACAGGAUUAGAUACCCGGGUAGUC
rnacentral:rRNA from 1 species